rnacentral:rRNA from 1 species
CAGUAGCCACGGGAAUACGUAGGUGGCAAGCGUUGUCCGGAAUUAUUGGGCGUAAAGGGCUCGCAGGCGGUUUCUUAAGUCUGAUGUGAAAGCCCCCGGCUCAACCGGGGAGGGUCAUUGGAAACUGGGAAACUGAGUGCAGAAGAGGAGAGUGGAAUUCCACGUGUAGCGGUGAAAUGCGUAGAGAUGUGGAGGAACACCAGUGGCGAAGGCGACUCUCUGGUCCGUAACUGACGCUGAGGAGCGAAAGCGUGGGGAGCGAACAGGAUUAGAUACCCGCGUAGUCCCUGUCUCUUAUACA